rnacentral:rRNA from 1 species
AUUGAACGCUGGCGGCAUGCCUUACACAUGCAAGUCGAGCGGCAGCGCGGGGGCAACCCUGGCGGCGAGCGGCGGACGGGUGAGUAAUACAUCGGAACGUGUCCUUUCGCGGGGGAUAACCAGUCGAAAGACUGGCUAAUACCGCAUGAGAUCUCACGAUGAAAGCGAGGGACCGCAAGGCCUCGCGCGAUUGGAGCGGCCGAUGCCGGAUUAGCAGUUGGCGGGGUAAAAGCCCACCAAGGCUACGAUCCGUAGCUGGUUUGAGAGAACGAUCAGCCACACUGGGACUGAGACACGGCCCAGACUCCUACGGGAGGCAGCAGUGGGGAAUUUUGGACAAUGGGGGCAACCCUGAUCCAGCCAUGCCGCGUGUGUGAAGAAGGCCUGG